rnacentral:rRNA from 1 species
UACGUAGGGUGCAAGCGUUGUCCGGAAUUAUUGGGCGUAAAGAGCUCGUAGGCGGUCUGUCGCGUCGAAUGUGAAAACCCGGGGCUCAACCCCGGGCCUGCAUUCGAUACGGGCAGACUAGAGUUCGGUAGGGGAGUCUGGAAUUCCUGGUGUAGCGGUGAAAUGCGCAGAUAUCAGGAGGAACACCGGUGGCGAAGGCGGGACUCUGGGCCGAUACUGACGCUGAGGAGCGAAAGCGCGGGGAGCGAACAGG